rnacentral:tRNA from 2 species
GGAGAGAUGGCUGAGUGGUCGAAGGCGACGGUCUCGAAAAUCGUUAACGGGGUAACCUGUUCGCGGGUUCGAAUCCCGCUCUCUCCGCCA